rnacentral:rRNA from 1 species
GAUGAACGCUGGCGGCGUGCCUAAUACAUGCAAGUCGAGCGAACGGACGAGAAGCUUGCUUCUCUGAUGUUAGCGGCGGACGGGUGAGUAACACGUGGAUAACCUACCUAUAAGACUGGGAUAACUUCGGGAAACCGGAGCUAAUACCGGAUAAUAUUUUGAACCGCAUGGUUCAAUAGUGAAAGACGGUUUUGCUGUCACUUAUAGAUGGAUCCGCGCUGCAUUAGCUAGUUGGUAAGGUAACGGCUUACCAAGGCAACGAUGCAUAGCCGACCUGAGAGGGUGAUCGGCCACACUGGAACUGAGACACGGUCCAGACUCCUACGGGAGGCAGCAGUAGGGAAUCUUCCGCAAUGGGCGAAAGCCUGACGGAGCAACGCCGCGUGAGUGAUGAAGGUCUUCGGAUCGUAAAACUCUGUUAUUAGGGAAGAACAUAUGUGUAAGUAACUAUGCACAUCUUGACGGUACCUAAUCAGAAAGCCACGGCUAACUACGUG